AGCGAACGCUGGCGGCAGGCUUAAUACAUGCAAGUCGAGCGCCUGUAGCAAUACAGGAGCGGCAGACGGGAGAGUAACACGUGGGAACGUGCCCUUUGGUUCGGAACAACACAGGGAAACUUGUGCUAAUACCGGAUAAGCCCUUUACGGGGAAAGAUUUAUCGCCAAAGGAUCGGCCCGCGUCUGAUUAGCUAGUUGGUGGGGUAAUGGCCCACCAAGGCGACGAUCAGUAGCUGGCUGAGAGGAUGAUCAGCCUCAUUGGGACUGAGACACGGCCCAAACUCCUACGGGAGGCAGCAGUGGGGAAUCUUGGACAAUGGGCGCAAGCCUGAUCCAGCCAUGCCGCGUGGGUGAAGAAGGCCUGGUUGUAAGU
rnacentral:rRNA from 1 species